AACGUAGGAGGCAAGCGUUAUCCGGAUUUACUGGGCGUAAAGCGCGUGCAGGUGGUCGUAUAAGUGGUGCGUGAAAGCUCCCAGGCUAAACCGGGAGAGGGCGUGCCAGACUGUAGGACUAGAGAGAGACAGAGGCAAGGAGAAUUCCGGGUGUAGUGGUGAAAUGCGUAGAGAUCCGGAGGAAUACCAGAGGCGAAGGCG
rnacentral:rRNA from 1 species